AAGCAUUCCAUAUAGUAGUCUAAGUUGGACUUGCGGUCGAAGUCCAGGCUGAGGCCAUCGGAGAAGAAGAGAAGAUGGACUCCAGAGAUUGAGAUGGAGUUGGUGGUGGUGGAGGUGAUGGUGGAUGACUUGAGCAUGCGGUGGCGAGCAAUUUCAGUGGUGGCAAGUGUGACCUGAAGACCUUUACAGAUCAAGCGUUUGGCUAGUCUAAGCAAGGGGUUUAUGUGUCCUUGAGAAGAGAAAGCAACCAUUAGCACAUGAAUUUCUUCAUGGUUUUCCUCCAUUGCCAUGGCUUU
rnacentral:misc_RNA from 1 species